CAACGGUAUCUCUUGUGAGGAGGGUCUCUUUUGUCGCACGUAUCAGAUUCAAUACAUCUUGCGAGUUCAAAUUGGUUAAGAUAUUCUUACGUUCUUACGAAAACGAAAUAGCAUCUAUAUUUUCACGCAGCAAGAAAUAAAGGACCUUUUAAAAUAUGUGCCAUUUGAGAUUCCUACUGCCGUUUAAAAUUUUUGAAGGGAGAAUUUCUCUCAAUGAAAACGACGAUGGCAAGCUCCUCAGAGGAACAUACCGUCAAGCCGACAAACACGAACAAAUCAACGACGACUGAAAUCAAACUUCUUGCUCCUAUGGAAGGUGUAAGAAAACGAAGACGAUUAGAAUCUUUGACAACGAACUCGGAAAUCCCUAAGAAAACGCAACGACGUGACGAGCCGUGCAAUUCCGAUUUACAUGAGAUACCUAGUGAAAAAAAAACUGAAGAUAUAGAAGCUAGAAAGGUCUCAUCAUUGCCACAUUUGAGGAAAAAAUUGUAUCGGGCUAUACCAGCGAACUCGCAGGACAUAAAAACAUCACGGUCUUGCGAAACAGUGGAAAGAAGUGAUGUCACUAGAUUGAGGAAAACGAUACAAUGGCUAGAGGAGGGAGCGCGAAGACUACGCGAAGAUCUGGCGAACGUGCGAACGGAGUUACAUGAGGAGCGGAGGGCAGCAAAGAUUGCCAAAAGGGAAUUUGAAGCUGCCCUUAGGGAAGCUAAAAUUACCGAGGCUGCCAAGUAUCAACCCAUCAUAGUCGAACUGAAGAAUAGAAUUGCUCAUUUUGUGCCGCAAUUGUCGCCGUCAUCGUUGCCGUCAUUCAAAUUGGAUUCCGUGAAGGACGAGAAUCACAGGCGUGAAAUAUCGACUCUCAGGAAAACCUUAGCCGAAGCUGAGAGUAAGAUACAAAAAUUCGAAUGGCAAUUCACGAAAUUACGAACAAACACCACUCGCAGUAUCAAUAGUACUUCUUCCUAUAACAAUGUGCGUCGUUUAGAAGCAGAAAUACGAACUCUUCAUGCCGAAAACGAAAAACUCGAAGAAAAAUUGCGUAUUGCUCUAAAUGCCGAGAAGAAUCGUAUUGUUGAGAUACGAGUUCAACGAGAGAAUCAUGAAACAGAGCUUUCCGCAUUACGAAAAUCGCUUCGCAGCGAAACUAUAAAAAUGAUGGACGAACUGCGAAGCAAGAGCCGAGAGGUUGAGAAGAUGUCGAAACUCUUAAAACGUCGAAAGUCGGUGUCAAUGGAGCACAAUAUGAUGCGGAAAUUACGGGAAAAUGAAAAAAACCGACCAAUACCAUCUGCAUCUUACAUAAAAAAAAAGAUUCUCACAGACAAUGGUCAUAUGGUGGAGUCAUAUGUCCACGCAGUACAAUCUGACAAAACCAUAAAUGAAAUUAAAGUCGAGCAUCUUCGUGAACUUGCGCUUGAACAGCAGGAAGUCAUCGAAAUACUUAAACAGACAAUUAAGGAAAGAGAAAGAAAGUUGGAGCAAUUGUUAAACAAGAAAAAGAAGGAAGAAUUUUAUAAACAAUGGCUUGAAUUGGAACCAGUUGCCGAAGUUGAUGAUGAAGAAGAUCACGAAGAUGAUCAUGACAGUGCUUUAUCAAGUGCCCCGUCUUCGAUGUCACCGCAGCCUGAAGGUUACGGUCAAUGGCUGAAUAAUGGUAUUACUAAAGAAGCAUACGAGGCCAUUCUUAUCGAAAUCGAGGAGUUACAGUCAAAGUUUCUUAGAGAGCAACGAGAACUUUCAUGCGCCAAGAUUCAAAUUUGUGACUUGGAAAAAGCACUCUUACAAGAAAGAUGUGUUGAUCGUGAUAAGGAAGUGAAAGAACUGAAUGAUAAACUUCGAGCUGCCGAAGAACGAGAAGCAACACUUUUAGUGGAGCUUUCAGAAAUACGGGAACAAAAUGAGCUCUUGGAAUUUCGACUGCUCGAACUAGAAGAAACAACUGUGCGUAGAGAUAGUUCCGAUCACGUGAUGGACAGCGAUAUCGUCUCGCCGGAAUCCAUUUACGCAAACAAAGCUCAUCUAACAAACCAACAAAGAAGCCGCGCUGUUGCAACUGUCAUACCUUACACAAAUAACGCUACAUUGAUAAACCCCGUAAAAUCCGCGUCACCAGUACUGCUCAAGCCUCCGCUGACUCUUCAGGAGAGCGGUAUUUUUGAGGAAGAAGAACAUGCACACGAGGACGAAAAGAGUUUACUCGAAGUUGAACUUACCAAUCGUAGCACUCAAACGGAUGUGCCGUCCGGCGAACUUCUUCAGGAAGUGCAACGUCUCCAGGAGUUAAGAGCUCGAAUUCAGGAACGUGCGGCUAAGAUCACAACAUCGAUCUUUCAUCCGAUUGAUUCAUCUAAGAUCUAUUUCGAUGUAUCGGUGGAUUCGAUGGUUCAGUUGACUUCCUACCAAGAGCGCGUUCGCGAUCUCGAGGAGAGACUUGAGAUUUACGAGAAAACAGAAAGGAAUAGAGAAAGAGAAAAGCAACUGUCGAAACAACGAGAAGAGGAGUUGUUGGAUGAAAAUUAUAAACUUCUUGAGAAGAUAUAUUGGUUGGAGAACAAGUUGCGAAAUAUUCCGGGAUCUAAUUUUGGGGAAGAUGGAUAUCAAGAUGGAACGUCUAAUAUGCAACAAAUCAAAAAUAUAAAUCAUAAUAAAUAUCAAGUUCUAGAAACUUCAGAGAAUUUAGAAAAUAUGCAAAAUUGGCUAAAAGGUACAAAUUGCACGCGAUCUACUCAAACCAUAAAAACAUGGGUGAAUCAUAUGAUUCAAUGUCAAGAUCAAGACAACAUGGAAAAUUUCGAUCAACAGAUUGCUUUAGGAGCGCAAUGCAAUGUCACGCUUGUAUCUCUACAGGAGAAGAAGAAGGAAGACAAAGUGGAAUUUCCUGACCUCGACGAACCAGUUGUUAUUAAUCUUACCAAAAGCGAUUCAGAAAAGAAGAAAAUAACGGCGAACAAGAGAAGACCGAGGUCGUGGAAAAAAAUUGUGGAGGAUGAGGAGAUGAAGGGAAGAAGGAGAAGGAAAGUUAACCAACCACAGAUCUACCUUACGUCUUUGAACCAAAUGAUCUACUUUCGUUGGAGAUAAAAAUGAGAAAAGGCUUUCCUUUGUCUCUCAUCGUUCCAGAUUCCGUUUAUUCACCUACGAGUUUCAAGGAAGAGACAAUAAACCCGUGGGUAAACUCGUGGCACGAACGAGACAAUACGGCUGGCGCUGCUUGGUAUGCCCAAGUAACGAUCAGAAAUGGUACGUUUUAAAAAGAAACAAGGGCGCUUGCGGAUGAACUCUGGUGACCUUCGAUUUGACAGAGUUAUUUCAUCUCUCCAUGUUACGAUCAACAUUUUCAUACAAGCUGUGAAAUCAAGUGCCAAAUAAGCCGUAAAUUAAACACUUUUCCACGCGAGCGUAAAUUAAAGAAUAAUUGCGAAAUAAUUUUAUAUAUGUUUUAAAGUAUGCUAAACAAAUUUAUGCUAAAAAUACGCCCGGAGAAAAAUCAGAUUGACAAUGAAUAUGCUAAACAAAUAUGUUUUUGUGCCAAUGUAUCAAAUGUAUCUCUUAAUGCGCAAUGUGUUUUCUUGAUAUUGGAAUUUAAAUAUAUCUUUAGAUGCAAAUUUAAAUUUAAAAUGGCAAGAAAGAUGUCGUGUGAAAAAACGUGUAAAUUUGGACCUAUUACAUAUAUUCUGCGAAUAUGGAAUAUGACAUAUAUUCUGCAUAUACUAUUACAAAUUAAUACAUGAUUAGUGAUGUUGGUAUUGUUGGCAUUCAACAAUUACAAAAACAUGUCUGUGCAGUAUCAUUCGUAUUGAAAACAAAGAUUAUAUUAUAUCUAUAUCAGCGAUUAUUGAAAAAUUAUUUAAUUAAUCGUAUAAAUGCCUAUCAUAGAACUCCUCAAUGAAUUAAUUUGCUUGCCUUGAUACUUUCUUUUAA